AUGGCGCGGUUUGCUGCGCUCGCCGCGCUUCUGCUCGCCGUGGCGGUGGGCGGCGCCGCGGCGCAGGGCGUGGGCUCCGUCAUCACGCAGUCGAUGUACGCGAGCAUGCUGCCCAACCGCGACAACUCGCUGUGCCCGGCCAGGGGGUUCUACACGUACGACGCCUUCAUCGCCGCCGCCAACACCUUCCCGGGCUUCGGCACCACCGGCAGCGCCGACGACGUCAAGCGCGAGCUCGCCGCCUUCUUCGGCCAGACCUCACACGAGACCACCGGUACGUCCGUCCGUCAGUCAAUCAGUCAGUCAGUCAGUGUUGAUUUCGGGGCUGCCUUGAUUAACCGAAGUGCGUGUUUGUGCAUGCCGUGCCAACGUGUAGGCGGGACGAGAGGCGCCGCCGACCAGUUCCAGUGGGGCUACUGCUUCAAGGAGGAGAUAAACAAGGCCACGUCCCCACCCUACUAUGGACGGGGACCCAUUCAAUUGACAGGGCAGUCCAACUACGAUCUUGCCGGGAGAGCGAUCGGGAAGGACCUGGUGAGCAACCCGGACCUGGUCUCCACGGACGCGGUGGUGUCCUUCAGGACCGCGAUGUGGUUCUGGAUGACGGCGCAGGGCAACAAGCCUUCGAGCCACGACGUCGCCCUAGGCCGCUGGACGCCGACCGCCGCCGACACCGCUGCUGGUCGGGUGCCUGGAUACGGUGUAAUCACUAAUAUCAUCAACGGCGGGCUCGAGUGCGGCAUGGGCCGGAACGAUGCCAACGUUGAUCGCAUCGGCUACUACAUGCGCUACUGCGGCAUGCUUGGCACGGCCACCGGAGGCAACCUCGAAUGCUACACACAGCGGAACUUCGCUAGCUAG
rnacentral:rRNA from 1 species